UCCUACGGGAGGCAGCAGUGGGGAAUAUUGCACAAUGGGCGAAAGCCUGAUGCAGCAACGCCGCGUGAGCGAUGAAGGCCUUCGGGUCGUAAAGCUCUGUCCUCAAGGAAGAUAAUGACGGUACUUGAGGAGGAAGCCCCGGCUAACUACGUGCCAGCAGCCGCGGUAAUACGUAGGGGGCUAGCGUUAUCCGGAUUUACUGGGCGUAAAGGGUGCGUAGGUGGUUUCUUAAGUCAGGAGUGAAAGGCUACGGCUCAACCGUAGUAAGCUCUUGAAACUGGGAAACUUGAGUGCAGGAGAGGAAAGUGGAAUUCCUAGUGUAGCGGUGAAAUGCGUAGAUAUUAGGAGGAACACCAGUAGCGAAGGCGGCUUUCUGGACUGUAACUGACACUGAGGCACGAAAGCGUGGGGAGCAAACAGGAUUAGAUACCCCGGUAGA
rnacentral:rRNA from 1 species